CCCGUGUAAGUUAAGCGAAACU
rnacentral:snRNA from 1 species